AUUGAACGCUGGCGGCAUGCCUUACACAUGCAAGUCGAACGGCAGCGCGGGGCAACCUGGCGGCGAGUGGCGAACGGGUGAGUAAUAUAUCGGAACGUGCCCUGGAGUGGGGGAUAACGUAGCGAAAGUUACGCUAAUACCGCAUACGAUCCAAGGAUGAAAGCAGGGGGACCUUCGGGCCUUGUGCUCCUGGAGCGGCCGAUAUCUGAUUAGCUAGUUGGUGGGGUAAAAGCCUACCAAGGCGACGAUCAGUAGCUGGUCUGAGAGGACGACCAGCCACACUGGAACUGAGACACGGUCCAGACUCCUACGGGAGGCAGCAGUGGGGGAAUUUUGGACAAUGGGGGGCAACCCUGAUCCAGCAAUGCCGCGUGUGUGAAGAAGGCCUUCGGGUUGUAAAGCACUUUGUCUAGGAACGAACGGUUAGAGGUUAAUACCCUUGGCUAAUGACGGUACCUGAAGAAUAAGCACCGGCUAACUACGUGCCAGCAGCCGCGGUAAU
rnacentral:rRNA from 1 species